UUUAAUAUGGCAGAUUAGUGCAAUGAAAUUAAAAUUCAUAUAUAAAAUAUAAUAUAUUUUUAUUAAAA
rnacentral:tRNA from 1 species